AUCUUGUAUCUGUUAUUGAUUUUGUUUAGAUUUUAAAUGUUUUUCUUUUAUGUACUAUUUAUUCAUAUUAAGCUUAAUUUGAACUAUAUACCUUUCUUUGCUUUUGCUUUUUUUAAUAUUUUAACAUAUGAUCUACUAAAAUAACUAUUUUUUUCAUGUAGCUCUACAAGAUCAUGAAGGAGCAUAAGAAUCCUAAAGUUCUUAUUGAGGGACUUUUGUGGAUGGGUUUAGCUGUUGAUGAUUUUGGUGUAUCAUAUAUAAAGCUUAAGGAGUUAAUUGAUUUUCUGAAAGAAACUGGGCUGCAGUCAAGUGCAGCUGCCACUAGAAAUGCUUCAACUAAGCUUUUCGGUGUUCCGUAUAGAUUUGUUGGUCCAGAUAUUAAAGAGUUCCUUACUGAUGUUAAGCCUGCAUUGCUCAGUGCUCUUGAUACUGAGUAUGAGAAGAAUCCAUAUGAGCAUCUGCAACUCCCAAGAGAUCAGUCAAAACAUCAGACUCAUCUUCCUUAAUUACUGCUGGUGAGUUGGAUAGCUUGCCUCGUGAAGACAUUAGUAGAAAGAUUACUCCUAAUCUUCUGAAGAGCUUGGAAAGUCCUGAUUGGAAGGUUCGUAUGGAGUCAGUUGAAGCUGUAAAUAAAAUACUGGAAUAGGCUAACAAGCGCAUUCAAGCAACUAGAACUGGGAUACCAACAUACAAAGCUGCUUUAACUUUGCUAAUGGUUUUUGGUGUUGGACCAACAGUUUUUGGCAAGCAAGAGUAAAGGCUCACAGAAUCCAGUUAAGUCAUGAGAAGAAGCAACAUGAAGCUACAAUGAAGAGGGAGAGAUUGAUAUUUUUUAUCCCAAUGUAUUUUAUAACUACUUUGGUUAAAAGAGAUUGAUAUAGCUAAUUUGGUUUGAAUUUUAUUAAUGUAAUACUAAUUUUCAUUAAUUAAUUUUUUUAAAUGAUA